rnacentral:rRNA from 1 species
GAUGUAGGGUGCAAGCGUUGUCCGGAUUUAUUGGGCGUAAAGAGCUCGUAGGCGGCUUGUUGCGUCGACUGUGAAAACCCGCGGCUUAACCGCGGGCUUGCAGUUGAGACUGGCAUGCUCGAGUUCGGGAGAGGAUGGUGGAAUUCCCAGUGUAGAGGUGAAAUUCGUAGAUAUUGGGAAGAACACCGAUGGCGAAGGCAGCCAUCUGGACCGACACUGACGCUGAGGCGCGAAAGCGUGGGGAGCAAACAGG